rnacentral:rRNA from 1 species
AGUGAACGCUGGCGGUAGGCCUAACACAUGCAAGUCGAACGGCGGCACAGUAAGAGCUUGCUCUUACGGGUGGCGAGUGGCGGACGGGUGAGGAAUACAUCGGAAUCUACUUUUUCGUGGGGGAUAACGUAGGGAAACUUACGCUAAUACCGCAUACGACCUACGGGUGAAAGCAGGGGAUCUUCGGACCUUGCGCGAUUGAAUGAGCCGAUGUCGGAUUAGCUAGUUGGCGGGGUAAAGGCCCACCAAGGCGACGAUCCGUAGCUGGUCUGAGAGGAUGAUCAGCCACACUGGAACUGAGACACGGUCCAGACUCCUACGGGAGGCAGCAGUGGGGAAUAUUAGACAAUGGGCGCAAGCCUGAUCCAGCCAUACCGCGUGGGUGAAGAAGGCCUUCGGGUUGUAAAGCCCUUUUGUUGGGAAAGAAAAGCAGCAGGUUAAUACCCCGCUGUUCUGACGGUACCCAAAGAAUAAGCACCGGCUAACUUCGUG